rnacentral:ncRNA from 1 species
CUUAAUAGGCAAACCUAUGGAAACAUAGGGACGCAAAGCUAUAGGGACUACGGCCAAAAACUAUUGUCAGCCAGCUGCCAA